rnacentral:rRNA from 1 species
AUUGAACGCUGGCGGCAGGCCUAACACAUGCAAGUCGAGCGGAGCGGCGGACGGGUGAGUAAUGCCUAGGAAUCUGCCUGGUAGUGGGGGAUAACGUCCGGAAACGGGCGCUAAUACCGCAUACUAUCAGAUGAGCCUAGGUCGGAUUAGCUAGUUGGUGGGGUAAAGGCCUACCAAGGCGACGAUCCGUAACUGGUCUGAGGGGAUGAUCAGUAACACGGGAACGGAGAAACGGUCCAGACUCCUACGGGAGGCAGCAGGGGGGAAUAUUGGACAAGGGGCGAAAGCCUGAGCCAGCAAUGCCGCGUGUGUGAAGAGGGUCGUCGGAUUGUAAGACACUUUAAGUUGGGAGGCGGUACCAACAGAAUAAGCACCGGCUAACUUCGUGCCAGCAGCCGCGGUAAUUC